AAGACUAUAGACCUGCGGAGUACCUGCGGAAGGAUCAUUAUCGAGUUGCAAAACUCCCUAAACCAUUGUGAACCUACCUGUACCGUUCCUUCGGCGGGCGGCGUCAAGCCCUAACCCGGUCCCCUUUACGGGGGAUGGACCCGCCGGAGGCUCCUAAACUCUUAAUUUUAGUUGGCAUCUCUGAGUAAAUCAAAAUAAGUCAAAACUUUUAGCAAUGGAUCUCUAGAUCGGAAGAGCACA
rnacentral:misc_RNA from 1 species